rnacentral:rRNA from 1 species
AGUGAACGCUGGCGGUAGGCCUAACACAUGCAAGUCGAACGGCAGCACAGUAAGAGCUUGCUCUUACGGGUGGCGAGUGGCGGACGGGUGAGGAAUACAUCGGAAUCUACUUUUUCGUGGGGGAUAACGUAGGGAAACUUACGCUAAUACCGCAUACGACCUACGGGUGAAAGCAGGGGAUCUUCGGACCUUGCGCGAUUGAAUGAGCCGAUGUCGGAUUAGCUAGUUGGCGGGGUAAAGGCCCACCAAGGCGACGAUCCGUAGCUGGUCUGAGAGGAUGAUCAGCCACACUGGAACUGAGACACGGUCCAGACUCCUACGGGAGGCAGCAGUGGGGAAUAUUGGACAAUGGGCGUAAGCCUGAUCCAGCUAUACCGCGUGGGUGAAGAAGGCCUUCGGGUUGUAAAGCCCUUUUGUUGGGAAAGAAAAGCAGCAGGUUAAUACCCCGCUGUUCUGACGGUACCCAAAGAAUAAGCACCGGCUAACUUCGUG